rnacentral:lncRNA from 1 species
UACCCGAGGUGGUUGGGUACAGCUUGGUUCUACACAUUUUGGGGAGGAGACAUAAGACAUCAGUCAAUACAUGUGAGGUAUACAUUGGCUCGAUAUAAAAAGGCUGGACAUUUCAAAGUGGGGGUUUUCAGGUCAUAGGUGAAGUCAAAGAUUUCUUGAUUGGCAGUUGGUUGAAGGAGUUCAGCUUAAGAUAAGGAGGGAUGUGGAAGCCAAGGUUCUCGCUGUGUAGAUGGAGCCUUCAGGUAACAGGCUUCAGAUAUAAUAGAUGGUAAAUGUAUUUUGUCAGGUUUUAAAAGAUGUUAGACUUUUAGUUAAAUCUCUCCUGUAUCGGGAAAAAACCUGGAAAGAUUUCCAUACUACUGGCAAAGAUCUCACUAAUUAGCCCUCAUAUAUUGACUUCUGUUUUCAUUUUUCUUCUUUAUUUAUCCUCAAUUGAUUGGUGAUUCCAGCCCUUUGGUCCAGCACUCAAGCCUGGAUCACUCAGUCAUCAUCUUUAUCCACUAACUGCUGGACUCUAAUGAAAAGAAAGCUCUUACCUGCCCAACUUAUUGCCUCCAAGUGUACCAAGAUACGUUUCUCUCUGACAUUGCCUGUACAUUUGCCUGUAGAACUGAAUAAAUGCCUAAAAAAUUAGUGCUAAAUGGCAGCAACUAGAGUUUACUUUGAAGCUGUUUUAUUAUCCUUCAUUGUGUAUAAUUCACUGAGAAAAAUGACACCUGGAUGGUGCCCUUUUCUUG